AGGACGAGGUGGAGGUCACUGAUGACGUCAGUCUGUCUUCUUCAGCAGAAGAGGAUGAGGAUGGUGAAGGGGUGGGACAAAACGGUUUAAUGUUUAUGGAAGAGAAGCAUUCUGGGAUAUGUAGUCUAGAUGACUUGCUGCUGCAGGCUGUGGACAGACUGAAGGUGGAGAUGGAGGCAGACAGGUGGACAGAAAGACAGACAGGUGAGAAGCAGAGGGCGGAGCUUCUGCAGGCAGGAGCGCAGGUGGGAAGCUCCAUACAUCAUCUGGUGGAUGCAGUAAGAAAAGAUCAGCCGUAAUGUGUGACUGACUGGAGUUCUGAAGAACACUGAUGGAUGAUGAUGAGUCAGUCUGACUGCCCCACAACUGCUUUAAAGCACCGGACAGUUGACCUGUAGAUCUGGACGCUCCGCCUCGUACAGCUCAUGCCUGACAUUCACAACGUUUACUUUCACUGAAACAAAGUCUGAUCUGAUCUGCAAGUUUUCUGUUUCUUUAACAUUUGGGGAGAAAUCCAGAAAAAAUCCGAUUGAUGCCCAGAACCUUCAAACGCUUCCUAUGAAUUCUUGUCCUGCUGGAUAAUCCAGACACGUUUCUUCUUCUUAACUUUUAUGUAACCAAGGGUAGAUCCCAUUGAGAUAAAAAACCACAUGGAGCCCUGGAGAGGAAUCGAUUCAAGAAUAAAAGACAUGUUUCUUUCUUACUUUGUUUCACAUAAUUUCAGCUCAAGUGAGGAUUUGUUUUUCUAUGUUGAUCUUUAGAUGUUUGUGAAGGCAGUUUGUGGUUUAAAAACAUUAAUAAUAAAUGUUUCAAAUGUUUCUCUUUCAUGGCUUUUCAUGGUUACGAUUGAAAAUGUUUAUAUUGUUUUAAAACAAUAAAAGAUGUCUUUUCAGAUAUCUAAUAUUCUUUUUGUUUUACAGACAACCACGCCUCCAUACUCUGAGGUAGAAGGAAAAUAAAAAACAUUUCUGAUCUUAAUUAAAGUUCAACUCCAACUAAAUAUUUGAUUUUACAAAGAACACUUGUUCUUUUAGAAACACUGAGAGUGAAACACAUUUAUUUUAGACUUCCUCACAUACUACAACCUUUUGGUUUGGAAUUUUAAAUGUAUCACAAGAACAUAUUAUUUUUAAUAUUUAUUUCUGUUUAAAAUACAUUGUUCUUGUGGUUUUUUAUUUUCUUCCAGAAAACAGAAUCUACUUACGUAAUCUAAAUCUUACUUUAGCCAAAUAUCACACUGAUAUAUGUAAAUAUAUUUAUAAAUAUAAAUAUAUAUAUAUGUAUUUAUAUAUCAGUGCUAAAUUUUUUUAACUUCUUUUCACUGGUGAAAUUAAAGAAAUAUGAUUAAUUUAUGAGAUCAUUUUAAGGUCCUAACAACUUUCAAAGAACAUGAGUUUUUACUUUUUCUCCCAGUUUUUAUCAGAAAACAUUCUGUAAUUGUGCUUUUCCAUCAGUUGCUUUCUUCCUCCAUCCAUCUGUUCAGACUUCUCUGUAGAUUGUUUGGAUUUUAUGUUCAUGUUCAACUCUGAUUUCAAUAAAAUGUCUAUUAGGCUAAACUUGGUUAUUGAUGACCUCAGAAAAAUCCACACACGCUUGGACACUUAUUACUAGUUUGAGAACAUACUGUAUUAUGUCUACGAUUAACAUCCUCUCAGUAAUAUAAACAAUAUGUAUUCUUUUGUAAAGCUCCACAUUUUCAGAACCACUGACUGGACAGAAAAAAUCUUUGGCCGAUUUAGUCUUAUUUUUUGUGAUCUGGACCUCGUGGAACGACACGACAGGAACGAGUUGAUCUGCAUGCAGGAACUCUGAGGAGCUGAGCUGGAAACUAACAUUUUCUUGGACAGUUUGAUCCGAUUAUGAAAGAACAUCUGAGAAGACGUCAGGUCAAAGGUCAAAGUGCUCAUUAAUGAAACACGCUCCCCUGUAGCCCCUGAUCCUGC
rnacentral:lncRNA from 1 species